rnacentral:rRNA from 1 species
AACGAACGCUGGCGGCAUGCCUAACACAUGCAAGUCGAACGAGACCUUCGGGUCUAGUGGCGCACGGGUGCGUAACGCGUGGGAACCUGCCCUUAGGUUCGGAAUAACUCCCCGAAAGGGGUGCUAAUACCGGAUAAUGUCCUCCGCCCAAAGAUUUAUCGCCUUUGGAUGGGCCCGCGUUGGAUUAGCUAGUUGGUAGGGUAAAAGCCUACCAAGGCGACGAUCCAUAGCUGGUCUGAGAGGAUGAUCAGCCACACUGGGACUGAGACACGGCCCAGACUCCUACGGGAGGCAGCAGUGGGGAAUAUUGGACGGUGGGCGAAAGCCUGAUCCAGCAAUGCCGCGUGAGUGAUGAAGGCCUUAGGGUUGUAAAGCUCUUUUACCCGGGAUGAUAAUGACAGUACCGGGAGAAUAAGCUCCGGCUAACUCCGUG